rnacentral:lncRNA from 1 species
UGGGUUAUGUAAAGUUUUGUUUUUCAUUUAAUGCAAGAAAGAAUGUAAUUUCUGUAGUUUUUAUUUAGUGUGUCCAGUUUGCACCCUCACUUCUUCUUUUUACUUUAGAUGCUGUUUAUCAUGGUGCUCUAAGGUUUAUAUCAGAUUGUAAACCAUCGCCAUAUCAUUGUACAUUGUAUGGCAGAGUAGGUUGGCCUUCUUUGUCUAAUAGGAGACAAAUGCAUUGGUAUUUAAUAACAGGUGCAGCUAAAAAAAAAUAUGUAAUGAAAUUUUUUUUUCAUGUAUUCUAAUGAUAUAUUCUAGAUUUAAUACAUGUAAAGUAAAACUUUUUUAUUUAUUUUGAUAAUUAGAGUUUGUAGCUUCAUGAAAGUCAAAAAUCCAGUAUCUCAAAAUUAUAGAUUAUAAAAUUUGCUGUAGUUUGAUCAUUUUAAAACAAUUACUUGACAAAUGGAAGAUGACUUUUUGAUAUGUGUAAUUGUUUUAAAAUUUGGGUUGUGUGAUUUGGGUUGAAACUGGUUGUAUUGCUGUCCAUUUUGGCCAGGACACUUUGUCCUUUGAUCUCAGAUCAAACUUUUCUGGUUAAAUAAACUUCGGGAAUGGGUACCAAAACCUGGUAUUUAAUCUGUCCCAGGGCUAAAUUAUGAAAGUAGAACAGUAGUAUCGAUAAGCUCUGACAUUAAUAUUUCUGCUUGUGCUCAAGAAAUUAAGAAAAUAUACAUAUUUAUCCAACUCACACUAAAGAUGGCUGAUCCAUUUUGUUUGUUUUAUUUUUUUCAGUUUUAUCAAAAUGCUCAAAGAGCACAAUUAUCGUGCCACCACAAUGGUGCACAAGUUUGUGGACCUUUCACACUUUUUUAGAUUGGUAAAGGAGGCAGGCCCCGAUGGGAUUAGAGUCUCAAAGAAAGCCCUUAAACGUGCUCUUCUUAUAAUAAAAAUGUGCACGAAGGAGGAGUCAAAAAACAGGCAGGCCUGGCAGCAGGAGGUCCACCUAUUGAAAUCUGAAAACCUUUUGGAUCCAGCUGCCCAUGCUGAGUUUAUAAGGGCCGCUUCGGAGGUGCUUCCGAAUAUAUUGCAUAAGUUACAAGGCUUUUGGUAGAUUCCAGACAACAAAAUACAAAAGUGGAUUAAGAGUUUUUUGUUUACAUUUAUUUGCUUAUAUAUAUAGUCGUACACUUAUUCAUAAUUAUCUUACUUUACAGGUCAAAAAGCACAAAACAUGUGCAACAUUCGGCCAUGCAAUACUCCCCAUCACAAAGGGGGAGUAUAAUUGCAUGGCCGAAUUUUUAAAAAUGCGUGGAAGCUUUGAGGGGAGCCAGUCACCCCACUUCUUUUUUAAUUCUAAGGGUGGGGUGUACAAGGGCCUCCUCAAAGCUUUCAUGGCUGCAUGGGAGUUUGUGGGCCUCCCAAAACCGGCCCCAACGUUCAUGGCCUUGAGGACCUCUAUGUCCACUCAGGUAAGUGUAAAUUUUGAUACACACACACACAUACACACACUCUCUCUCUGUCAUACAUUCUCUCAAACACAUACACACACACAAACACUUUCUCAAACACACUCAUGCAUGUUUCUGUGAAUUGUGGGGACUUUCCAUAGUCUUCUGUUGUUUUUAUACUGACCAAACACCAUUUUUAUCCCCUAACCCAAUCCUACCCCUUACAGAAAACCUGUUUGCAUUGUUACAUUUUCAGAUAAACAUCAUAUAGUAUUUAUUUAUUUUUUUCCCUCAUGGGGACCAUAGGCUGUACCCCACACAAUUUCAAAAGUUUCAGGUUUUACUAUACUUAAGGAGACAUUUUGUUCGUCUUCAUGUGGUAUAACAAGUGCGUACAGCACAUGCUCUGUCUUCUCACUCUCUCUCUCUCUCUCUCUUCAUGAUUGCCACCUCUGGCCACAGGCCAGGGGUAAUCAUGAACCUCACCGUGGAGGAAUUUCAGGCCUCCAAAGGAGGCAAGGAUGGCCAUGCCAUUUUUGUGAGUGUUGUAGUAGUCAUUGUUUUGUUUACAUUUAUUUGCUUAUAUAUAUAGUCGUACACUAAAAAGCACAAAACAUGUGCAACAUUCGGCCAUGCAAUACUCCCCAUCACAAAGGGGGAGUAUAAUUGCAUGGCCGAAUUUUUAAAAAUGCGUGGAAGCUUUGCGGGGAGCCAGUCACCCCACUUCUUUUUUAAUUCUAAGGGUGGGGUGUACAAGGGCCUCCUCAAAGCUUUCAUGGCUGCAUGGGAGUUUGUGGGCCUCCCAAAACCGGCCCCAACGUUCAUGGCCUUGAGGACCUCUAUGUCCAAUGUUAAUUUAUUGGUUGUCAUAGCCACACUAAACCUUUCAUCUGAUCAAGCAGAAUGUUAACGUCAUCUUGAGCUUCUACAAGGUAUCUCUGGUUAAAAAUAGCUGACGUUAGUGUUAAGUUAGUGAGUUCAUGCUAAUGUACAAACUUAAAUAACAAACUGUUAUCACGUUAUUUACCUUGCAGUGAAAGUCAAAAACGCAUAAAUGAAGGUCUAUAUAAGAUUGCCUCUCCAUAUUAAUCUAGUUAAAUGAAAAUACAUUUAAUCUUACUCUGUGUUAUAUGAACAAUGUUGAUAAGUGUCUUUGCUACCAUGACAAAGGUAAUAUAAUUCUUCCAUUCUUUAUUAAACCGGGCAUUUUUAGCUAAUUAAUUUUUUCUAUCUUGGUAUUUUUUUUUUCUUUACCUAAUGUAGUAAAAUAAUUUAGUUUAACUUAGUUCUAGUUAAUAUAAUUCUUCCAUUCUUUAUUAAACCGGGCAUUUUUAGCAAUUAAUUUUUUUCAUCUGGAUUUUUUUUUUUUCUUACCAAUGUAGAAAAUAUUUUAGUUAACUGUUCAGUUGCUAAAUUUAUAUUUCUCUUUACUAAAUGUAGUCAGGAAAAAUUAGUCUAUUAUAUUCAGUGAAGUGCAGUGAAGCACUGGGCAGGAAUGUCAAUUUUUUUAUUUUUUUGUAGUACGUGGUUAUGAACCUUUUGUGGAAAUGGCAGGAUCAAAGCCUUUCUCCUAUACAACAUUUGCUUCUUCUACCCUGAGCAGAGCACAUGAGUGGAAUACCAGUACCAAAACCAGCUGACAGAAAACCAAAAGAUAUGGCAAAUGGGUUGUGAUUAAAAGGGGAAUAACUUAUAAUUUAACAUUAUAACAUCCUAAAAAAUCAUUAGACAAUUAAUUUCAAAUAAAUUUUUAGAAAGUUCAUUUCAAAUAUUGUCCUUUAGUUGUAUUAAAGGGCUUUCAUUUCACUUUACAGUCUGAUAAAAGUUUUUGAAUGAAAAAUCCUGACCUCAGCCGUUGGUCCUCUCAGCACAAGGCUGCACGUUCAUGAGACUAUUCGCAUAGCAAUUAACUCUGACACACACCAUAAAAAAAAAAAUUUAAAAAUACUUUUUGAGAAAUCAAGAAUAAUUGACAAAACUGAUACAUGAAAAACUAGAAAUCAUACAGUAGGAUAUUAACUUGGAAUGUUUAGAUUAAUUUAAGGAGGUGGCUUCUUAUUGAGUGUUAUAGGCUAGGCCUGGUUCUAACACAUAUUUUAUGUCACACAUGUCACAAAUUAUUAAAGGCUUUAAACUUAUGUCAACUUUGGUCACAGGUAGGUGAGGGAGACAUGUACUCAUUUACACCUACUGUCAUAAUCCAUCUUGCUUGUUGACUUUUGAACACUUGUGCCUUUAUUUGAUAAACUGUAUGUUUUUUAUUUUGUUUUUUGGAUCAUUUCGAUCUAAUGAACAAAAUUUUGCACUAUUUAAAUAUAAAUUACAAAACAAUGGGAAAAAUACAGAAAACAAUAGCUUUCCUUUUUGCUCUGACAGCCACAUGACAACACCGAACACUGUGCGUGAGUGUUAGAAAUCAGGAAUGUUGAAAGAACAUUUGUAACUGGUAUGUGAUUCAUCUUCAAACCAAACUUAUGUUCCACUAAGUCUGGAAAUGGUCAAAUGUGGACAAGCUCAAAACAUUUUACACCCUGUCUACACCUUUAGCGUUGUCCACUUUAGAGCUAUGCGAAUAAUCCAAUACAAUGAUCAUGCGCAUCUAAACAGUAAAGCUGGUUCUGUGAUUAUUAGUGAAUCUCCUUCACAU